UCCCUGGUGGUCCAGUGGUUAGGAUUCCACACUUCCACUGCAGGGGCCCCAGGUUCGACCCCUGGUCAGGGAA